GGUGAACGCUGGCGGCGUGCCUAAUACAUGCAAGUCGAGCGCCCUGCACAGUGCGCUUCUUAACUACGAGACAGGACACCGAAAUUUGCUCCUAAAGCAAAUUUGGUAUCACUAUCGAAGGGAUGAAAGCCUGGUAAAACAGGCUAAAACAUGAAGAAGCGUAGCGUGCAGGGAGCGGCGAACGGCUGAGUAACACGUUGGAACCUGCCCCAAAGUAAGGGAUAGCUCCGGGAAACCGGGAUUAAUACCUUAUGUGCUCUAUGGAGUAAAGAUUUAUCGCUUUGGGAGGGUCCCGCGGCUGAUUAGCUAGUUGGUAGGGUAUGGCCUACCAAGGCAAUGAUCAGUAGCUGGUCUGAGAGGAUGACCAGCCAGAUUGGGACUGAGACGCGGCCCAGACUCCUACGGGAGGCAGCAGUAGGGAAUCUUCCACAAUGGGCGCAAGCCUGAUGGAGCGACGCCGCGUGCAGGAUGGACGGUC
rnacentral:rRNA from 1 species